rfam:Aedes aegypti strain Liverpool supercont1.183 genomic scaffold, whole genome shotgun sequence.
CAAUCGGCCCUUUUCAGUGCCAACAAAUGUGUCCUAAAGAGUUAUUU